rnacentral:rRNA from 1 species
ACGUUAGCGGCGGACGGGUGAGUAACACGUGGAUAACCUACCUAUAAGACUGGGAUAACUUCGGGAAACCGGAGCUAAUACCGGAUAAUAUAUUGAAACGCAUGGUUCAAUAGUGAAAGACGGUUUUGCUGUCACUUAUAGAUGGACCCGCGCCGUAUUAGCUAGUUGGUAAGGUAACGGCUUACCAAGGCGACGAUACGUAGCCGACCUGAGAGGGUGAUCGACCACACUGGAACUGAGACACGGUCCAGACUCCUACGGGAGGCAGCAGGC